GACGAACGCUGGCGGCGUGCUUAACACAUGCAAGUCGAACGGAAAGGCCCUGCUUUUGUGGGGUGCUCGAGUGGCGAACGGGUGAGUAGCACGUGAGUAACCUGCCCUUGACUUUGGGAUAACUUCAGGAAACUGGGGCUAAUACCGGAUAGGAGCUCCUGCUGCAUGGUGGGGGUUGGAAAGUUUCGGCGGUUGGGGAUGGACUCGCGGCUUAUCAGCUUGUUGGUGGGGUAGUGGCUUACCAAGGCUUUGACGGGUAGCCGGCCUGAGAGGGUGACCGGCCACAUUGGGACUGAGGUAGGGCCCAGACUCCUACGGGGGGCAGCAGUGGGGAAUAUUGCACAAUGAGCGGAAGCCUGAUGCAGCAACGCCGCGUGCGGGAUGACGGCCUUCGGGUUGUAAACCGCUUUCGCCUGUGACGAAGCGUGAGUGACGGUAAUGGGUAAAGAAGCACCGGCUAACUACGUG
rnacentral:rRNA from 1 species